rnacentral:rRNA from 1 species
AGUAACACGUGGAUAACCUACCUAUAAGACUGGGAUAACUUCGGGAAACCGGAGCUAAUACCGGAUAAUAUUUUGAACCGCAUGGUUCAAAAGUGAAAGACGGUCUUGCUGUCACUUAUAGAUGGAUCCGCGCUGCAUUAGCUAGUUGGUAAGGUAACGGCUUACCAAGGCAACGAUGCAUAGCCGACCUGAGAUGGUGAUCGGCCACACUUGAACUGAGACACGGUCCAG